rnacentral:tRNA from 1 species
GGGCCCAUGGUCUAGCGGCUACGCAAAAAAGCGAUCUUUUUUGGUCGCAGCUUGCGCUGCAUAUGACAACUCGUUUACACCGAGUUGAUCCCCGGUUCGAGUCCGGGUGGGCCCA